CCUACGGGAGACUGCAGUGAGGAAUAUUGGUCAAUGGACGAGAGUCUGAACCAGCCAAGUAGCGUGAAGGAUGACUGCCCUAUGGGUUGUAAACUUCUUUUAUAAAGGAAUAAAACGAGGCACGUGUGCCUUUUUGCAUGUACUUUAUGAAUAAGGAUCGGCUAACUCCGUGCCAGCAGCCGCGGUAAUACGGAGGAUCCGAGCGUUAUCCGGAUUUAUUGGGUUUAAAGGGAGCGUAGAUGGGUUGUUAAGUCAGUUGUUAAAGUUUGCGGCUCAACCGUAAAAUUGCAAUUGAUACUGGCAGUCUUGAGUACAGUUGAGGUAGGCGGAAUUCGUGGUGUAGCGGUGAAAUGCUUAGAUAUCACGAAGAACCCCGAUUGCGAAGGCAGCUUACUAAACUGUGACUGACAUUGAUGCUCGAAAGUGUGGGUAUCAAACAGGAUUAGAUACCCUUGUAGUC
rnacentral:rRNA from 1 species